rnacentral:rRNA from 1 species
GUCUACUGCCAUGCCACCCUGAACAAGCCCAAUGUCUGAUCUCAGAAGCUAAGCAGGGUUGGGCCUGGUUAGCACUUGGAUGGGAGACCACCUAGGAAGACCAGGUGCUGUAGGCA